rnacentral:rRNA from 1 species
UACAGAGGGGGCAAGCGUUGUUCGGAAUUACUGGGCGUAAAGGGCGCGUAGGCGGCCUGUUAAGUCGAACGUGAAAUCCCCGGGCUCAACCCGGGAACUGCGUCCGAUACUGCUGCGCUAGAGUACUGGAGAGGAGAUUGGAAUUUACGGUGUAGCAGUGAAAUGCGUAGAUAUCGUAAGGAAGACCAGUGGCGAAGGCGGAUCUCUGGACAGUUACUGACACUGAGGCACGAAGGCCAGGGGAGCAAACGGG